UCAUCAACUCAGCAUAGCAAGGAACUAAAACAACCUGCACCGCGCCAUCGCUCCUGAACUCCGACGCCGGCCACCGCGUCCGCAGGCACCACCGCCCCAGUGUGUCUCCCAUUCUCACCUCGCUGCCGCGUGCCCUCGCCACCAAUCACCGCCCGGCGUGCUCCGCGCCAGCCUUCCUCAUGUCGCCGCCGCGCCUGGACAACCGCUGAGCGCCUGAGCCACGGAUACUCGGAUAGCCCCGUUCCCGGUGGCCUCCUUUUGCGCGCACCCGACGAGGCCGCAGCUUGCAGCGCCGGCGGCCGUCGCCGCCGGUCGGUGCCUGUCCAGUUCGCGAAGAACAGGGGGUGAUCGGUAUUUCAAAUAACGACCGCCUUCUCUUUUUCGGUUCUCCCACUCCCGAAUUCAUCUGAGCUUGAAAUUUCGUGGGAUGAUGCAGCUGUACUUUCUCCUCCUCUACAAUGUUUUUGUUGAAUCUUUCGUGGAGAAUUGAAUCGUUAAUUUGGAGCGCAAUUGAGGCAAGGGGUUGGUCGGGAUUUCAAAUAACACCCCUUGCACUGUUGCACAUUUAUCUCUUUUGUUUCUUUCUCUGCCCGAUGAAUCUGAGCUUGAAACUUUGCAGGAUGCUGCGGAUCCGUACUCCCUGUCUCUGAAAUUUUUCUUAGAAUUUUCGUUAUGGUUUUGGGGCGAACAAAAGUGAUUUGCCGGCUGCGCUGUGCAGCGGCAGGGGAGACCAUUCGUAGACAUGCCGCUUCCUGAGCUCGAAUUCAGCAUACGCCGAAGCCUGCAGACGCUGAAAGGAAGUUGGAUACGAACUGGUUCUCCGUCAGGAAGAAGGGCCACCGGUCCCGGCAGGCUCGUACGUCGGCCGUCGCCGGCGGCGGCAGGAGGACCGGUGGGCGGUGGCCAUUGCAUAUUUUACAAAGACCUCCCUAAUUUGGAUCGCGACUAUUAAUCGCGAUCUAGUAUUUUACGGAUAACCCCCUAAAUUUGAUCGCAACUAUUGAUCGCGAUCUAAUAUUUUACACAAAACCCCCUAAACUGGAUCGUGAUUAAUAAUCGUGAUCCAAUUUGUUAUAAAUUGCCCCCUGGUUUUGCUUCGCUAUCCUCCCAUGGUCAUGACCGUCGCUCCCCAUGCCGCCCGCCGCCGGCGAUGUGGAUUUUCCAGCGAUCCGUAGCCAUAUGUGCACGCAUAUCUCCCGCACAACCUUCCUUUCCCCUUGCUCCUCCACCCGCGCCGCCCUCCUCAUCUUCUCCGGUACCGGCGGGCGAGGGCGAGAUAUUCCUGACUUGCUGUCGUACGCGCUGCUGAUAGAGAUGGGUUCAGAAACCAGCUAGGUGAGGUCCGGAACGGCGACUUCGCUGCCUUCCCCGCUGUUCAGUUGCCUGCACCAUCGUUGAGCUCAACGAGGGGGGUGAGGAGCUGCAUCCAUGUCCGGAUCGAUCGAUCCUCGGCUUUGGAGAUGCAGAAGAGUGAGAUGCUAUCUCCAAGUUCAAGUCGCAAGUGCAGAGCUCGCAGGAAAACCAUUCCUCUUUGCUACAGCAGGAAACAGAGAAACUUCAUGGAGAUAUUGAUAAGAUGAGGAGUGAACUUCAAGGGGAUGGGGGUACGACGGCUAGAUGGCUCCGAUCCGACCCGGAGUCCAUAGCGACGGCCAUAUAAAUAAAAGGGAAUAGACGAGAGAGAAGGGGAGUUGCGAGCAGAUUCAAUCCACCGGUGUUGUUUCGCAGGUUUCGUUCGUCUUUCGGAGAAGUCGCCGUAUCCAUCCGAUUUGCGGUGGUGGGGGCAUGGCCGCGGCACUUCAAUGCCUGGUGAGGAAGAUGGCACGCGCACCACCGUCGCAUCAUCCUCGACUCUACUCGGGGCUUGGUCGCUCCUCCCCUACCCCGUCCUCCCCACCGCCAACCAGCAUCAAGGAUCCUACACUGGACAAGGAAAAUCUCAUUAAAUUGGAACGGUACAACCUCCUGUUCCUUUCUCUCUCUCUCUCUUUUUUCUGGUUCUCAUCCAACAUGUCAUCAAGUCACAAAUUGUCAAUUUUCACUAUGUAGAGUCAUAUAUCUGCAUUAUUUCAAUUUUAGGAGCUGUAAAGGUUUAUUUGAUAACUGAUAAGAUAUUGUUACUUGCAUUUGUGAUUUUCUGCGCAAAGGCACAAUUCAUAACGACUACAAACACUUGCGUUUGCAUUUUGAUGUUUGGUGGUUCGCUUUAUUUUACUUUUGUUAAGCCGAAGUUGAACGAACUGAGGGACAGAGUAGAAGCUCUUUCUAGAAAAGUAGCAAGGUUGAAGAAGGAAGAGGACGUAAGACAAGCCAACAACAUGCAAACCUCAGCAGGAGGACAUGAGAAGGAUCCUGGUGGCCACCAAGCUUAGAUGAGGCCUAGAGCACGGGGCAAAAGAGUUGAGAUGAGAGGCUUUAAUUGUGCUCGUUUGCCCUUUUGUUCGAUCUCGGUUAGGAUAUUGUAAUGCUAGCUGAUAAUGAUCUAUGUUAAUUUUUUCUUUUGGUGCCUGCGCCUUCUUUUU